rnacentral:rRNA from 1 species
UACGAAGGGGGCUAGCGUUGCUCGGAAUCACUGGGCGUAAAGGGUGCGUAGGCGGGUUUUUAAGUCAGGGGUGAAAUCCUGGAGCUCAACUCCAGAACUGCCUUUGAUACUGAGAAUCUUGAGUAUGGGAGAGGUGAGUGGAACUGCGAGUGUAGAGGUGAAAUUCGUAGAUAUUCGCAAGAACACCAGUGGCGAAGGCGGCUCACUGGCCCAUAACUGACGCUGAGGCACGAAAGCGUGGGGAGCAAACAGG